rnacentral:rRNA from 1 species
UACAGAGGUCUCAAGCGUUGUCCGGAAUUAUUGGGCGUAAAGAGCUCGUAGGCGGUCUGUUGCGUCGGCUGUGAAAACCCGGGGCUCAACCCCGGGCCUGCAGCCGAUACGGGCAGACUAGAGUUCGGCAGGGGAGACUGGAAUUCCUGGUGUAGCGGUGAAAUGCGCAGAUAUCAGGAGGAACACCGGUGGCGAAGGCGGGUCUCUGGGCCGAUACUGACGCUGAGGAGCGAAAGCGUGGGGAGCGAACAGG